rnacentral:rRNA from 1 species
UAGGGAAUCUUCCGCAAUGGACGCAAGUCUGACGGAGCAACGCCGCGUGAGUGAAGAAGGAUUUCGGUUCGUAAAACUCUGUUGUUAGAGAAGAACAGCGCAUAGAGUAACUGUUAUGCGUGUGACGGUAUCUAACCAGAAAGCCACGGCUAACUACGUGCCAGCAGCCGCGGUAAUACGUAGGUGGCAAGCGUUGUCCGGAUUUAUUGGGCGUAAAGCGAGCGCAGGCGGUCACUUAAGUCUGAUGUGAAAGCCCCCGGCUCAACCGGGGAGGGUCAUUGGCAACUGGUUGACUUGAGUGCAGAAGAUGAGAGGGGAAUUCCAGGUGUGGCGGUGAAAUGCGUAGAUAUAUGGAGGAACACCAGUGGCGAAGGCGACUCUCUGGUCUGUAACUGACGCAGAGGUUCGAAAGCGUGGGUAGCAAACAGG